AAAUUGAAGAGUUUGAUCAUGGCUCAGAUUGAACGCUGGCGGCAGGCCUAACACAUGCAAGUCGAACGGUAACAGGAAGAAGCUUGCUUCUUUGCUGACGAGUGGCGGACGGGUGAGUAAUGUCUGGGAAGCUGCCUGAUGGAGGGGGAUAACUACUGGAAACGGUAGCUAAUACCGCAUAACGUCGCAAGACCAAAGAGGGGGACCUUCGGGCCUCUUGCCAUCGGAUGUGCCCAGAUGGGAUUAGCUAGUAGGUGGGGUAACGGCU
rnacentral:rRNA from 1 species